GUGCUAGCCUCGGCAGCAAAUAUACUAAAGUUGAAAUGAGACACAGAUUAGCAUGGUCCUGAGCAAGGAUGGCAUGCAAAUUCGUGAAGUGUUCCAUAUGAAA
ensembl:snRNA U6 U6 spliceosomal RNA